rnacentral:rRNA from 1 species
AGUUCGAUCCUAGCUCAGAUUGAACGCUGGCGGGAUGUGCUACACAUGCAAGUCGAACGGCAGCACGGACUUCGGUCUGGUGGCGAGUGGCGAACGGGUGUGAUAAUGUAUCGAACGUGCCUAGUAGCGGGGGAUAACUACGCAGCGUAGCUAAUACCGCAUACGCCCUUCGGGGAAAGCGGGGGACCUUCGGGCCUCGCGCACUAUUAAACGGCCAUUCUGUCGGUUAGCUGGUUGGUGGGGUAACGGCUCGCAGGCGACGAUCCGUGGCGCUGGUUUGAAGGACGACCAGCCACACACAGGACUGAGACACAGCCCCAGACUCCUACGCAGGAGAGCAGCAGUGGGGAAUUUUGGACUAAGGAAGCCUGAUCCAGCCAUCCCGCGUGUGCGAUGAGCCUUCGGGUUGCGAAAGCACUUUUGGCAGGAAAGAAACGGCACGGGAUAAUACCCCGUGCAACUGACAGUACCUGCAGAAUAAGCACCAGCCUUUAAAGUACCAGCAGCCGCGGUAAUACGUAAGGUCACAAGCGUUAAUCGAGAUUACUGGGCGUAAAGCGUGCGCAGGCGGUUCGGAAAGAAAGAUGUGAAAUCCCAGAGCUUAACUGGAACUGCAUUUUUAACUACCGAGCUAGAGUGUGUCAGAGGGAGAUUCCGCGUGGCAACAGUGAAAUGCGUAGAUAUGCGGAAGAACACGAUGGCGGAGGCAGCCUCCUGGGAUAACACUGACGCUCAUGCACGAAAGCGUGGGAGCAAGCAGGAUUAGAUACCCUGGUAGUCCACGCCUGAAGCGAUGUCAACUAGCUGUUGGGGCCUUCGGGCCUUGGUAGCGCAGCUAACGCGUGAAGUUGACCGCCUGGGAGAGUACGGUCGCAAGAUUAAAACUCAAAGUUGACGGGGACCCGCACAAGCGGUGGAUGAUGUGGAUUAAUUCGAUGCAACGCGAAAAACCUUACCUACCCUUGACAUGUCUGGAAUCCCGAAGAGAUUUGGGAGUGCUCGCAAGAGAACCGGAACACAGGUGCUGCAUGGCUGUCGUCAGCUCGUGUCGUGAGAUGUUGGGUUAAGUCCCGCAACGAGCGCAACCCUUGUCAUUAGUUGCUACGAAGGGGCACUCUAAUGAGACUGCCGGUAGCAAACCGGAGGAAGGUGGGGAUGACGUCAAGUCCUCAUGGCCCUUAUGGGUGAGACACGCGUCAUACAAUGGUCAGGACAGAGGGUCAUAACCCGCGAGGAGCCGUCCCCAACCCGAUCGUAGUCCGGAUCGCAGUCUGCAACUCGACUGCGUGAAGUCGGAAUCGCUAGUAAUCGCGGAUCAGCAUAUGCUUGGUGAAUACGUUCCCGGGUCUUGUACACACCGCCCGUCACACCAUGGAGUGGGUUUUUACCGUGAAUUUAACCUAACCGUAAGGAGGGCGAUUACCACGGUAAAGUUCAUGACUGGGGUGAAGUCGUAACAAAACCAG